UUUGCGUGAAAGGCAAGCCAUGCGAAGAUCUUGCAUUUGGGUUCCGCGUGAGCCCACCGGAUCUUCUUAGCAUCGAACUUUGCGAAAACUGCCUAGAAAUUGGACAUGGUAUGCAGAGCCAGUGAAGUAGUCACCCUCCGAGUUGAUCGUCCAAGUGAUGGUGUCUGGCACAUCCAAGGCAAGGUGCGUGGCCGCAACAACUUCCCAAAGUUGCAAAUACUGCGCAAGCUGGUCAAGAGUGGAGAGUCUAGCGAUAGAGCAAAUGCAGUUGCCAUCAAGUAGCUCUCUGGUGACAGUUCUCAUUUUCCUUGUAGCCACCUUGAAGAGAUCUGGAGCCCAAAAUUGGAUGGGCCCACGGUCUGACCAAGUCAGACAAGAAGGAAGUGGAUUCCCCUUUUCCAAUGGUAAUCUUCGUGUCAGCCCAGAAAAGAUCCAUGGCCGCGUCGUUGCAAGGAAGCUUGGAGCCUGCCCAGGUUUGCUGUGGGUCAGUCCAUUGAAGCCAAGGCCAUCAGAGACGAAGGGCGCGGCCAGAGCAUUCAAGGUGCUUCUGCUUUUGCCGGCGGCCGGCGGCACCAAGGUCAGGGAGUCAGAGUACAGUCGGCCUUGAUGAUUCUACAAACUCUAUCUUGCUGCCUUAGAUACAACUCUCAGCCCUACCGUUCCUCUCUUACUGCACAACUCAAUUCUGAAUUUUGUAAACAUUUAUAGUUGAAGGUUGUGUCUACAUCUGAAAGGUCAUAAAUUUAUGAAUGUAGACAAUAUUUUAAAAUCCAUGUAUAUGUAUCACUUUUUAAUUUGAUUUGCAAGGUGUGCUUGAGAGAUUUUGGAGACCACUUGCAUGGAAGACCAUGCCAAAUGAAGUUUGGACCUUCAGUAUGCAGAAGAGUGGUGACAAAAACGGAAGAUUGUGAAGCAGACCCAUAACUGGUCAAAUAGAGAAGGAUAAAGAGCUAUUGGUGCUUUCUGAAUGGUUUCAUAUAAAGGUAAUAGAAUUAUUCAUGCAUGUUUCUGAUUUAUGUUCUUUGUUAUUUCUAUUGUGUGAAAUUAAUCUUAAGAACAUUGAUUGUUCGCACGAAUUAUAGGGUCGCAAACAUCAUCACAUCACAUACCAGAGCAGCAGUGUUUCUAUUUUUUACAUUUACUGACCUGGAGACGGAUCUGGGUGCUAAAGAAUUAGCACGUGCUAUGGAUCUAAACUGGUUACUGUAUAUUUGGAAUUGCUCCUUCAUUCUACCCUAGGUCUGGAAGGAUUUGAUGAUACCUCUAAAGAACAUGAUCUUUAAAAGGAUCAUGUGAUUGUCAGUCAGAUUUCCUAUGCACAUUGAUACGCUGUGUACAAAGUAUGAGCACUGGAAUCUACUUCUCAGUUGCUAGCAUUCUUUGCGAUAUAUGUUUUUUUCCUUAUUAUGUGCUUGGCACAACUAUUGGCAUUCCAUUUAUUAUUGUUGCUGGUAAAAAGAUGUUGAACUUUAAUGAGUUAUAGAUAUAUGCUAGAUUUAGAAGAAUAAAAAUAGAAGGCAAGUAUUAAGCCUAAUAGUUGGGAACUUACUAAUUACUUUGGGAAGCCCUCAAGAUCGUUAUCAUUAUCUAUAGCUUUGGGGUCAAAUACAGUAUGUGCAUGCUUGGCAUGCGUGUCCAAGCUUUUCUUUUUGCUUGAUUGCCGAUUAGGCAUGUUGUUGGAUGUUUAGUUAUUUUCUGUUAUGAUUUGCGCAGAUUGUGCACACUCGCUUAAAUUACAUUGCUACAAAGCUAUGUCAAGUUAUACUCUUGCCCUGCUCUAGGGGCAUUGGUCUCUCAUUCUCUUACAAUAGAGUUAUAUCCAUUUUUUUCCGGGGGAAGUUUUUAACAUUAUAUUUAUAGUUGUUUUAAAAACCCACCUGAUACUAAGUGCAUGUGCUUUGCUGGAGCUGUGGUUCCCAAAUUAAAUCAUACAUUCAGGCAUUGCCUUCCAAUUUCAUAUCAUGUUCUGUCCAGUUAGUAUCCACUUAUUUUGCGCUUGGUGAAAAUCACAUAGACAAAAGUUGGUUUAUGCACGCUUACUAAUCUUGUAUAUUCAGCAGUUGGUUAGCUCAAGGGAAAUAGCCAAGUAGUUUAGGUUCCCACUUUUAAUUUAUCUAGUGUUCCAGUAUUCCCAAUUGAAUUCAUGUAACGUAAGCAAGUAUGUAUAUGUAGUUUUGCAGCCAAAGAACAAUGAAGAUCAGGUCACAAGAUUAGUGUGGCUUGCAAGAAUAGAAUAAUCAUGUGAGCCUAUUGCAAAAUAGAUCUGGUCAUGCCCCCUAAUUAUCUUUUCUUAUUUCCUUUCGUAUAUCUAUACAAGUAGUGUCAUGUGAAACCCAAUAAUUGAUAGUACCAACUUGAGAAAGAAAUUGGUGCAUGUACAACACAAAUUGGACAAAUAGGUGGCUUGGUGAGCUCCAUUAAGCUAUUUUGAAUAUUAUUUUUCAUGCUCUGGUUGAGUUUUGCAGAUUGAGUUAGAGUUACAGUAUAUCUGUAAACCUGAGAUAUGCAACAUGCAAGUUUUUUCUAAAGGUGACCUCCUUUAUUUUGGAGCAGUUCUCUCCAUUCCAUGUUGUCAUUUUGAAAAAAAUUAUCCAUCUUGCACAAAUAAUGUCUUCUUUUCACAUUAUUUUGCUUACAACUCACUAUUAGGUUUUGGGACCAGGACAUACUUUUAUUCUAUAGCUACUGUCUGAAAUUGUUUGCAGGAAAUAUGGGUUUGUUGUCUCUUUCUACCAAAUGCAGAACAUACUGGACUGUUGGAUUUUCAUAAUGAUUUUUCCCAUUGUACUUAGCUGGUGUUGUUUUAGUUUCUAGCUGCAUUUGAAAGUAAGAAACAGAUAGAACAGUGCAGCCAUUUUAAAUUUUGGUUUACACUGUAAUUGGAGAAUGAGGAGAUGCUAGGAUCCUGGGUGAUAAAAUAAUGUUGUAGUGACCAAGGUUGGUUUUUGACUCCACAUUGUUACUUCUAGAUGUAUUUGAUCCCCAAACGGAUGUCCACCAGUACUGUUGCACACACAGGUCUAUGGAACUAUCCCCAAGUUAUUCAUGUUUGAUCACUACUCUAGCUAUUUCCUUUACAUAUGUGUAGCAACUCAUUGUUUCUACAUUAUCUAUUUUAAUUUGUCCACUCAUCUUUCAUAUUUAUAUGAGCAGUAUUGUGACCCAUAAGCCCUUUAUGCUGCACAAGGAUAUAACUAUGACAAUUGGGAGGUGUAUAUAUAUUAUUGUACCCGGAUUCCAUUUAAUGUAAAUCACCAUGACACCAGCUACUCUGGUUAUCCCGCAGGUUCUCCGCGCUUCAUCAAGCUUUUUGUUGUGCUGAUCAAACUCGGAUGCCAUUUGUCUCGGAAUUCCUAUCAAUGUAAGGUGAUGCUUCGGUUUACUAGGAUCUAGGAGUUCAGGAGCCCAAAUCAGGGGAUUCUCUACUCACUUGAUUUUAUCGUCAUUGACCACUAGAGAGGCACAAUGGAAGGUCCAGUCCUGGAAAAAGAGUAGAUCAGUUUAGGGAUCAGCUGUAGGAGGGGUCUAUUUACACCACUAAGAAAUUUGAUUUGUAUGAUCCUAGAAAGAGCUACAGGUCAGUGGAUCAUCCUUUGCGGAUCUGCUUUACUAUGAGGACUACUCUAUCAGAGGUGGUGCCGCCGCCGGAGAAUUUUCCUAUGUAUGCCUAUACUGCUGUCCCGUUUAGCAUGCUGUCAGAUUGCAUUGAUUGGAAUAUACUUAUAUCCGAUUUACAACAGAUGUCGGACGGGCUAACAAAGUCCCCGAUGUUUUGCCUCCUUCUGGUAAUACAAAGAGCCAAAAGAGACAAAUUUAUAUCACGGAUGGCAGCGAGCAUGCUAUUGUUACUUUGUGGGGAGAGAUGCUGAUGGACUAAUGGAGGCAUCAAAUGAAGAACCUGCCAUCGUGUUAUUUGUUGGCAUGACUGUCAGUCAGUACUUAGGCAUUGCGCUCCCACCUCUGUUUUUGUAUUGUCCUAUUGUAUUUCUUUCUUUUUUCCUGAUUUGUGCUAGCUUUUGUAUCCAAUAAUGUGCUGCAGGCUAUUUGUUUAAUAACAUGUGUAUCUUGCAUAUG